rnacentral:rRNA from 1 species
UACGAAGGGUGCAAACGUUGCUCGGAAUUAUUGGGCGUAAAGCGCACGUAGGCGGCUUUGCAAGUCCCAUGUGAAAGCCCACGGCUUAACCGUGGAAGUGCAUGGGAAACUGCAGAGCUUGAGUACUUAAGAGGAUCGCGGAAUUCCCGGUGUAGAGGUGAAAUUCGUAGAUAUCGGGAGGAACACCAGUGGCGAAGGCGGCCAACUGGUCCGGCACUGACGCUGAGGUGCGAAAGUGUGGGGAGCGAACAGG